rfam:Myotis lucifugus cont2.16484, whole genome shotgun sequence.
GGAUGUGAGGGCGAUCUGGCUGCGACAUCUGUCACCCCAUUGAUCGCCAGGGUUGAUUCGGCUGAUCUGGCUGGCUAGGCGGGUGUCCCCCUCCUCCCUCACCGAUCCAUGUGCGUCCCUCCCGAAGCUGCGCGCUCGGUCGAAGAGGACGACCUUCCCCCCCGAGGAGAGGACCGGUCUUCGGUCAAGGGUAUACGAGUAGCUGCGCUCCCCUGCUAGAACCUCCAAACAAGCUCUCAAAGUUAAGUGCCAGGCACUGAGUUAGGUGAUGAGUAGAAUAAAAAGAGCCUUAAAAUUGUGAUGAGAAAAUGAAAAGAGGGCUAUGAUUUUAGGCCCAGAGAAGGUGGGGCUGCCUGCAAAU